UCAAACUUGGUCAUUUAGAGGAAGUAAAAGUCGUAACAAGGUUUCCGUAGGUGAACCUGCGGAAGGAUCAUUACUAUGAAACCGUGCCUACCCGGCCGGAUUCUCACACCAUUGUGUACCAAACUUUUGUUGCCUCGGCGGGUUGGGCGCCCACCAGCGCCCCCCCUCGCGGGAGUCGCCCGCCGCAGGACCUUUCAAACCAGUUCGUUGAUGAACGUCUGAUUUUAUUUUCUAAAAGAAAUACAACUUUCAACAAUGGAUCUCUUGGCUCUGGCAUCGAUGAAGAACGCAGC
rnacentral:misc_RNA from 1 species